rnacentral:lncRNA from 1 species
GGAAAGUCCAAUGAGGGGAGAUCGAAUUAGGAAAGUGGUGAUUCCCCCCUGCCCCAAUGAAAUCUCAGAGAUAACCUGUAAAGCUUUACACAUGAGCAGAACUGACUGGAAAGGGUGUUUAGCAGAAGUAGCCUUUAUAUCUUUUCAGCAUUUCCUUUCGGGGUUUCUCUGGAGUGUGAAACUGCUCUCUCCAGGCUGAAUGGAUGGAAAGCCAGGUACAGCUGAGUCUCCUCCGCAGAGGUAGAAGACAGCCUUUGGUAAGCCCUGGGGUUAAGCCGCACUGGGAGCCUCAAGCGCUAGGGGUGGCCGCCUUCUACUCCCCAGGCUGUGGCGGGCUGACACCUGCUGUGACCUCCUCACCCCGCUCCCUUGGCCUGGCUCCUGGGUUCAGAUAUCCCGCCUUUGCCUAGCUGUGACUCCCACUGAUGUGGGUCACAGUUUUCCUUUAGGGACUAGAGUGAUGGCACCACUGUGGGUAUUGCAUCAUGAGGAUGACUCACUGCUCCCCAGCUUUGUGUGCAUAAUAAGCAAGAUCUGGGCUUCUCACUGUUCCCAUCUCCAGUCACCUUCAUUUUUGUGAGCCCAGAGAAAGCAGACAUGUGAGGGACGGCCACCCUUGAGAGAAUCCUGGUGAUGCGUGUUUGCCAGGCUUCUCUUCCACUGGGGUAGCAGUGGACACUAAAAUAAAG